ACCGUGAUAAAUAAGCUGUGGUCUGUUGCUCCGCAAUACCAGCACAAAUAUGAUAAGUUAUGGCAAAGUCGGAGGGAACUUCUCAGAAAGUGUGGUUUUAAAUGUAAAGGCUGAGAGCAAUCCUUCAAACUCAGAUGACACUGAGAGAUGGAUGCGGAGGGGCUGUCGUGCACAUUCGUGAUUCAGUGUUUCCCACCGCGAUCCUCUAAGACUUUACAGCUCUGAUCUUUAAUUUUCUCCAGCUGCGAGAUGCUUAGAUAAAGUUGUGUUGUUACACUCAGGAUUCUUUGCCUCCCUUCCCUACAAUUUGUCUUCCUCCUCCUCCUCCUCCUCCUCCUCCUCCUCCUCCCACAGUUUGGACACACUGAGCCGCAUGCUGUUCUUGUUUGCCUUUCCCAGAUUGCCCUGCUGCUCGGCCCGGUGCUGGUGGGAGUUGGCAGCCCCCCCCACCAAACCUCCCCAUCGUUUUAUCUCCACUGUCAGAUCCUACAGUUAUCUCUCAACCAUCCUACGCCGUCACAGUCAUAUUCACACACACACAAGCGACAGUUUUGUUUUGACAUUUUCCGCACUAUAAACACUGCUUUUUUUUUUCUUCAGGGGUGUAAAAACACACCAGGGAGUACAAAAUAUGGUGACAGGUCUAAAUAAACCCUAAGAUUUUUUAUAUCUGGAUUGUUUUCUUUAUUGCCAUCAUAACAUUUAGUUCAUGUACAUUUUUCAUUUUACCGUCAUUUAUCAGUCGAGCGUAUUCUUGUAAUGAUGCCCUGGAUUAUUCUUCAAAAAGGUUGCACGCUGCUUUUCCCCGUGAUUGUGGCACAAAUUCACAUGAACAUCUCUUGAUAAAUAUACUGUAUUUACCCUAAUAUAAAGUGGGAGAUUAUUGAGCUACGAGAACUGAUUUCGUGAAGUUUUUAAAUAAUCCCCCCCAAUGUGUUUUUAUUUUAUUUUUUUAUACAUAUGUCAAACUGCAUCAUUCUUGUCUUUGCUUUUCUUUUCUGCAGGAUCCUCCUGCGCCCCCACGAACAGCUGCAGAUGCAUGAAGCUAAGGUUGGAAAUCAACUUGGACUUUAGGGAUCAAAAACAUUUUAAACUUGUGUGUUGAUGCCGCACCUUUUAUACAUUAAUCCACUGUACGAGAAACCAAGAGGAGCUGAGUUUUGGGCGACCUGGUGGAUCUAACUUCUGAAACAAUGCUGCCCCCUUGUGUGUGCGCUCGCCUCUGAAAUGGGACCAUCAACAACAACGUGGCCUCCAUCACCGUUAACGAGGGAGAAAUCAAACCGACACACUCAGAAGAACUUCAUGAAUAUUUUAAAACUUUAAUAUACAGUGCUUCAUAAAUCAUUACUAAAAACACAGGUGGUAAAAAUCAAAUUGAACAAAUAAGUUACACUGUAGUAAAAAGCACUUGAGAUUCCUUUCCGUUUUCAACAUUAGUGUGAACCCCAUAUGAAAAUAGCAUAGAAAGUAUGCAAACAUAGAAUUUCAUUCAUAUAUAUCUUCUAAUCUUUAGCUAAAUAAACCAUUUUUUUGUCCCCUUUAAAAUUUCCCUUAACCGACUGGAUGAAAUGAGGAGAGUUUUACAGCUGUGUGUUUGUGUGUCGUGGCCUCGAUUUCAUCGCUAAUUCUUUUUUCUUUUUAAAACAGCUUGAAAACACUUUUUUUUUCUGUGGACAAUAAAUUUACCCUCCGUGAGAACCUCAAGACAAGCCUAAAUAAAAAUAUAAAUUAACAUACCAAACAUGUGAACAGUCUGCAAAAAACGUGUUUGUUUUUUUUCUCACUGACUGGCGGUACAGUUUAACAUUUGACCUCAAAGCACUCUCACACACACUUUUAACAGUAUUUCCACACACACACACACACACACACACACACACACACACACACACACACACACACACACACACACACACACACACACACACUCUCUCUCUCACACACACAGUCUGUGCAUAGACCCAGGAUUAACUUGUGGAGUAACUGGUAACUGGAGCCGUUUUCUGCCCGCUCCCCCAACUCCCCACUGUGGUUUGUCCUUUAAAGGAAAAUAACCCUUUAACCCAUUUGUUGCUGUGGCAACAGAAGCUGGCUCCGGGCCGAAAGGGCUUAACAUUGAGAUACGUAGAGAUAGACGGAUCAAAACAUCGCCGUUUCCAUAGUCCAAAUCAGUGCCCGCUAUCAGCAACAAGGUAAACAGAAACAAGUCAACGGUAGAUACACGUGUCGGGGGUGAAACAACCACCUUCAAUUUUAUCUGCGUACAAAAUUGACUAUAUUUGAACAGUUUUUCGUCACAUUAUUGAACAGUUUUUUUCCCCCCGAUGCAUAUGUGAGCUGUGUUGCUCUGCCUGCCCCCUUCAUCUACUGCUGACCCAGAUCCUGACGGUAUCAGCUGAGCGAGUCGGUGUGUCACGACGACCUGAACAUGGUUUGAGACGCUUCUGCAUGCCGGCAAAGGGAGAAUCUGAGAGCAAGUUUCACAUUUACAGUCACUGGAUAUCAACAAACAGGGAAGUUUAACGUGAAGAAAUAUGAGUCUGAUCGGAGAAUUUUAGAAUCUCUUGUAAAAACAAAACAAAAAACAAAACAUGCAAAAUUGAGAAUUGAGUCUGGUUUACAGAAGAACGCUUACGGCCUGUUUACUGGCAGUUAAUAAUUUACUGAUACAUGUUAUGCAUUCGUAACAGAUCUCCUCCUGAGGAGUCUCGUGUCGGCGUUCGAAAGCUCCUGUUCGAACCUUUCAAAAUCUGGGUCAAGUACAGUUCACAGGAAAGAGCGCGUCUGCUCCUCUUAGAGCACGAGAGUCAUCUAUUUCCGGCAAAAAAAUAAAUAAAUAAAAAGAUCUGUGGGAGGCGUAACAAGUAAACAGAAGAAACAGCAAAUGAAUGUCUAAUUUUCAACCUGCGGAUUUCUUCUGUUGAGAACCUGCAGAAAUGUGGGUCGGGUUUCGUUUACAGUAAAGUACGCUUCCUCUUCCUUUAAUAACUGUUUGUAUCAGCAAAUUAUGCACUGUUAUCUGGAGAACGAGGAUAGUGUAAUGUAAAAACCUGCUAAAUUUGAUUUAGGUAUGGUUUUGCAGAGAGGAAUGACCUGUUUAUUGACGAGAGGAAAUAAUUAUCCAACGUGUUUAUGUGUGAGGAAAAGACAAAAAAAAAGAGGAAGCUCUCGAAUGUCUUACGUAGAGGAGCGUGUGCUCCAAAAGACAAAAAAAAAAAGGAAAUAUGUCUCAUGUUAGCAUUCAAAGUCUUUUGGGUAAAGUUCGGUCUAAAGUAAAGAGUGUUGCCUUUAACCCAGACUGCAUCAGGGAAUUAUUUACUGUGUUUAAGGGAGCGAGAGUGAACUCUUGGCUAAAGUUUCAGGGGGGCAGGCGCGUCAUAAAACGCCGAUAUCCGUUUCCAGAAUUUGUGCUGUUUGUUGUCUUUCCCGGGUUCGUUAUGUGUAUCUACAGAGAGCUGCGGUUUCAACAGUCAAGAGUCGGUGCCUCCUAUCAGUUACAGGGUUGACAGAGAGGCAUCCAGAGCAGUCAGUCAGUCAGGAGGGAGGGAGGGAGGGCUGCGACGCUCUGGUAAACAGGAGGGGGGUCAACUUGUUCUAUUGCACAUACGUUUCUGCCUUUUCUUCAUUUCUGGCUUCCGAAAAAAAAAAAACAUUUAAAAAAAAAAAAAAAA